CUCGGUCCUCUAACAUUAUUCAAUAUGACAUAAAAAUACUGUGGUCGCCUAUUAAAUAAAUACCACAGACAGCAAAUACAUUUGUUUUAAUUAUCAAUUUGAUUAACUAUUGUACUUACAAUUAAUGCAUAAAAAUGAACAUGCCUACUCUUUGUUUAUUAUUUUUAAAGACAUAUUCAUGAGGCGCAUUCUGGGAUGUUUAUAAACACUACUGAAGGAGGAACUGACAUGCUGCACAUCUGAUGAUGCUUUUGCUUCACUGUUCACUUCCAUCCAAUAACAAAAAAAGAGGAAAGAAACUCAUUCAUAGACAAUUUAUUUGUCUUCUCUAAAAACCUUCAGGAGAUAUUAGAUGUAAGGUUUUAGGGUCACAAGGAACACGUUGCAUCCAAACUUUUGGCCGCUCGUGCUUGCAUGUCUAAUGAUGGUUUUAAAGAAAGCUCCCAGCCCAGGAGUAAAGGCCACCCUGAACAAAGCUUUCGAGUUUAGAAGGAUUCUGAUGACACAGCACGUUGAGAUCUGCAGUCACGCCGAUUUUCCCUCCACUUUAUUCAAGCACGUCAAUGAAAGAAAUGUUUAAAUCGGAAGCCACACCUGCCGCCCGCCGUGAGCCAAUGAUCCGCAGCCUGGAGCUGAGGAACGACACACCCACCUUUGCUCCGAGCCAAUGGGAGCGUAAAGGUCAGGAGGGGGAAAACUUGCCCCGGGAUCAAUUCAUCUCGCAUCAGUGACCUUCUGCAAAUGUGUGGAGGAAUUUGGCCAGCUCUCCUCUGACUUUCAGGUGUUGUUAGUAUGGGAAGUCGACAACAAUGGCUCACGAGACUGAAGAAUGAGCUGAGCAACAGUCCUCUGGUGUCCAACGUGGCCUUCGGCUUCAUCCUGAUGGGACUGGAGAAGCUGGUGGAGCUGGAGUUUGAGUGUCCGUGCAAUCCGGCCUGGAACGGGCUGUUUUCCUCCGCGUUCUUCAUCAUUCCCGCCGUCAUGGCCUUCGCGCUCAUGAUGAUCAUUCAGGGAUGCAGGUGUGACGCCUGGUGCAGGAGGACCGUGUCCCUGUCCAGCUUCGUUCCCGCCGUGGUCUGGCUGAUCCUGCUCUUUCUGGACGGUCAGUAUUUUGCCUGUGCGAUGACAGACUGGCACGGCAGGUUCGUGAUCGUGGACAAAGCCGCUCCGCAGAAAUGGUGCGAACCCAUUCAAGAGGAGAGCGCCAGUCCUCAGGAACUCAUGCUGCGCUCACAGCGACUGUUUGUGGAGUCUCAGGUGAUCGGCAUAGUGCUGCUCAUUUUUAUCUGUUUGGGACUGGUCGUGUAUGUGAUCAGAGAAAGCUGCAAGCAGGAGCUGGAAACUGAAGAUGCCAAUGUAGCAGAGAUGACGCUCUUCAGCUCCAGCUGAUAGACACCCUUCCUCACCAUCACCGACUGCAGAAAACACUCUUUACAGUACAGUGUUCAUGUACUGCAGUGAGUAACACACAAGAAUAACAUGUGCUUACAUGCACAGUUCACCCAAAAAUAAAGAUUCAGUCAUGGUUUACUCA
ensembl:lncRNA